rnacentral:lncRNA from 1 species
CCUUCAAAAAUGGGCAGAUCUUGCCUAUGUAUGAUGCACGCAAACCUGCCAUUUUUAAGACUGGGGAACAGCCUUACACUCUUGGAAAAUCUUCCAGUGGCUUGCACACCCUCAAUUCAAUGGAGCCAUCGAGUGCUGCUGCUGUGGAAACGAAUCAAGUUGGUAGCAUCAGGCAUACAGCAACCCCCUCACUAGCAGCCGAGUAUUUAUCUUCUCAGAUUUUGCCUUCCAUUGCCAGUGGUCAGCAUCCAGUAAUAUCGAAAACCAAGAAGCGCAAGAGUGCCACUUAUGAACUUAAUCCCUGGCACAAAGAAGUGUCACAAGGUUCCCGA